rnacentral:snRNA from 1 species
UCGAUUCGCGACUAGCGCAACAAUUUACUGACAAUUCAUUCCAGACAGAGAAGAUUAGCAUGGCCCCUGCACUAAGGAUGACACGCUAUACAAAGAGAAGCUACCAAUUUUU